CUGAAACCCGACCUCCCAUGAAGUUGGAUUCGCUAGUAAUCGCGCAUCAGCCAUGGCGCGGUGAAUACGUUCCCGGGCCUUGUACACACCGCCCGUCAAGCCAUGGGAGCCGGGGGUGCCUGAAGUCAGUGACCCAACCGGAAGGAAGGAGCUGCCGAAGGUGGAGCCGGUAACUGGGGUGAAGUCGUAACAAGGUAGC
rnacentral:rRNA from 1 species